rnacentral:rRNA from 1 species
AUUGAACGCUGGCGGCGUGCUUAACACAUGCAAGUCGUGCGGUAACAGGCGUAGCAAUACGUGCUGACGAGCGGCGAACGGGUGCGUAAUACAUGGGAAUCUGCCUUUUAGUGGGGAAUAACCCGGCGAAAGCCGGGCUAAUGCCGCAUAAGAUCUUCGGAUGAAAGCGGGGAGUCGUAAGACCUCCGCGCUGAUAGAUGAGCCCAC